rnacentral:tRNA from 1 species
GGAAACGUGACCGAGGGGCCGAAGGUGCUCCCCUGCUAAGGGAGUAUGGGGUGUAGAGCCUCAUCGAGGGUUCGAAUCCCUCCGUUUCCGCCA